rnacentral:misc_RNA from 1 species
AUCAUUUUUUCUCCAAAAAAGUGACAUUCAAGUCCCUUUUUCAGACCGCAUUUCGAUGUUUGGAUUCUUACAGGACUUAAAUGUAUAUCAAAUGAUAUUCGUUUCUAUUUUCGAUCUUUCAGAUACGGCUAUUAUUUUGAUAUUGUGAUAAAAGCGUUGUUAGAGUUUUCUCCUUUUUUUUUAGCCCUUUAAAUCUUGUGCUUUCAUUAUAUAUGUUAUCGUUUUUCUCACUUUAUUUGUUUAUUACAAGCUAAACAAAGGUUUUCGUUGUUUUAAUGUGUUUGUGAAAUGAUAUUAUUAUUAAUAUUAACUUAAAGAUUAAAACCGUUCAAUGAACUAUUUCGCUAUGCAAUGUUUAUUUUGUUUAAGAAUUUGAAUCGAUAUGAUACAAAAUGUUAAGAAGUGAUUUUAUGUAUUUUGUUACCAGUAUUAGCUUUGUACAUUUUUAUUUCGUUUUUUCCUUGCAUGGUUUAUGAACUUAUGUUUUAGAACGAGUUUUUCUGUGAAAAACGAUUACCGUUAUCUUCCAAUAGCACUCACAAAGAAUGAAUAUGUAGGCGUUAUUAAUAAAAUAAAAACCACAAUUAUGUAAUUGUAUGAGAUUUUGUAAGUGGUCUUCUUUUUCCUAUAAUAAGCUCAAACGGAACACUUUAGAUUAAGCAAAUAUUGGGUUUGUUUUGAUUUGGGUUUUUUUAUAAUAUCAAAAUGUAUUUGAUAAAUGUUUUGAAAGCUGUUUUUAAAGAUUAAGAAACAAAUAAUAGAAAUCAUAUGUACUUUUAAUUUGUGAUAAUCAUGCUGUUUAUUUUGAUAACCAUAACAUUUGUCAAAAAUGAAUAAAUUACAAUAACC